AUUAGCGGAUGACCUGUGGCUGGGGGUGAAAGGCCAAUCAAACCGGGAGAUAGCUGGUUCUCCCCGAAAGCUAUUUAGGUAGCGCCUCGUGAAUUCAUCUCCGGGGGUAGAGCACUGUUUCGGCUAGGGGGCCAUCCCGGCUUACCAACCCGAUGCAAACUGCGAAUACCGGAGAAUGUUAUCACGGGAGACACACGGCGGGUGCUAACGUCCGUCGUGAAGAGGGAAACAACCCAGACCGCCAGCUAAGGUCCCAAAGUCAUGGUUAAGUGGGAAACGAUGUGGGAAGGCCCAGACAGCCAGGAUGUUGGCUUAGAAGCAGCCAUCAUUUAAAGAAAGCGUAAUAGCUCACUGGUCGAGUCGGCCUGCGCGGAAGAUGUAACGGGGCUAAACCAUGCACCGAAGCUGCGGCAGCGAACGUAUCACCCAAGACAACUUUACGGAGUUGACGAUUGACGGAGCGAAGCGACGUCAAAGCGUUCAUUAAAGUCGAGUUGGCUUAGGGAUACGUUCGUUGGGUAGGGGAGCGUUCUGUAAGCCUGUGAAGGUGUGUCGUGAGGCAUGCUGGAGGUAUCAGAAGUGCGAAUGCUGACAUAAGUAACGAUAAAGCGGGUGAAAAGCCCGCUCGCCGGAAGACCAAGGGUUCCUGUCCAACGUUAAUCGGGGCAGGGUGAGUCGACCCCUAAGGCGAGGCCGAAAGGCGUAGUCGAUGGGAAACGGGUUAAUAUUCCCGUACUUGGUGUUACUGCGAAGGGGGGACGGAGAAGGCUAUGUUGGCCGGGCGACGGUUGUCCCGGUUUAAGCGUGUAGGUGUGUGUUCCAGGUAAAUCCGGUU
rnacentral:rRNA from 1 species